AUAUAACACUAUGUGCACAUCUAACACAAAUCUACAGAUGAUUCAAUAGGGUAGGCAACCCACGGCAAAUUCAAGCACUCGGGUUUGGGCCUUGCUCUUUUGUGUCCUAUGUUCAUUUAAAGUGUACAUAAAGGCAAUCCCACAUCUUAGUUUGAGAGAAAGCAAAGCCUUAUUUCAUGAUGGUGCCUCCAUCGAUCCACUAUCAAAGUUAGCAAAGUGGGCUUGGGCGUGGGCUUUUCUAGCUGACUGGAUUAAGAUUGACUCUUGAUCCACCAACAAAAAUAUCCAGAGCUUCAGCCACACCCUUUCUACCCUUCAAAUCAAACUUCGGAGGUGUAUCUUAUUCUACAUUUCUACCUUCUCUCUCUUUUUCUUCUUUUUCUAAUUUUUCCUUUCCUCUCUCUUAUUUUAUUCACUUAAAAUUUAAGAACUAAACCCUUAAUUUUGGAACUCAUACAAUUGGUUAUUGAUAAUAUUUUUAGUGAAAUAUAUUUUUUUAAUUCUUAUUUUUAACUACAAAUUUAAUUCUUUAAUAAAAAAAAAUUAUUUUGUCAAAUAACUAAUAUAAAAAAAUAAAUUUUAAUAAAUACACUAUGUACAUAAAUGAUGUGGGAUGUGUCAUACUCCAACAUAUGCAUGAGCCUAAUAGUCAAACAUUGCUAUGAUACUGUAUAGGUAAUAUCAAGGUCUGAAGAGGAGUCCUGCCAACAAUCAUCCCACCCCAAAUAUGCUGCGGGUUUCUUUCUUCAACAAAAAGGAAGUGAAGCCCAACUUUUUUAAUCAAUGGAAUAAGAAAGAGACGACCUCUCAAAUCAUCGGUAAGGGAAGAAUUUUGUUUUAUCAAAACAUUCUAAGCAGAAUCAAGUAGAAAAUCCAGAUCUUCUAUCUUUCCUGUAGGCAUGAAAAUAAAACUGGAAUGAGACCUUUCUUCUGAUUCUGUUCAGAUGCAGUUUUUAAAUGCACCCGAAGGGGCUUUUAGGCGUGUAAUCAUAAUUUAAGUUAGAAUUUUUUAAGCUUAUGAAUUGCAAUAUAUAUUGAGUAUAUUGCUUACGCAUUUUUUUUUGUUGAAUUGAGGGCAAGGGAGAAUUUAAAAUGAAUUUAGUGCUCAAUUCUCAUUCAAUAAUUUGUACGUGCUAUUAGGUGUAGUACCAAAUCUAGAUGAGUUAUUACUUCAUACACCACCCAUGCUUUCCCC
rnacentral:lncRNA from 1 species